rnacentral:lncRNA from 1 species
UAUCUGCUAGCUUGCCCUAAGAAAAACAACAGUUCCACAGAUAUCUCCAGUGCUUUUCUAUUCGAAACACAAGGGCGCUAAGCAAAGAGAAUUUCAAUUAACGAACAGUAGGUGCUUUUUCUUCCUUGGCCCAUCUCAGUGAUAUGUAGGCUCUCAGCCCUUACUUGAAUCAUCCGUCCUCCCUACAGAAAGAAAGCGAUUUUAUGCCCUCCCGAAGGAAAACGUUUGGGCCGGCUGGAGCUCGACACGGAGCAAAAUGUAGAUGAUCUCCGCAAAUGGGCGAGGUAGAAGGACGUGGUUGGAAGUUUUUUGACACGAGGCCUUGCGCAAAAGACGAGUACUUCAGAGCCCACCAGGAAAAGGAUAUUGGUUCGCAUCUCUAUAUUGAUCCGCGGCGCUUCUAUGAAGUUUUCCUUGUCUCCGAUUUCAAAGCUGAAUGGAUGACUGAAUCUGUCGAAGCAUCAUUCGAUAUUUGCAGAUUGACGUAAUGCUAUGAGGAGUUAGAGUCUUCUGCGGGAAAGACAUUUAUUGUAGAGUUUUGUAGAUCUUUUUGCUCUACUUUUUCUAGUAUUCCUUACAUAAGAUCUCGGAAGAGCCGAUGUUUCCUUCCGUUCCCGGUAAAUAGGAAUUCUAUAUCCUCUAGCUCUUCGUGACCUGUUGUGUCUGCCCUCGACUUAGCCGUCAUAGAAUAGAAAGGUUUCUAACCGUUGAAAAGGAUACUUCUAAACGUUAAGGGGCGCUCAACCUUCCACUCAAAUCCUUUUUACCAGAAGGGAGCUCGCCUGCCACGACAUAUAAGGGAAAAGGCAAUGUGUGGAACUAGAUCAAGUUUGAUCUGCCACUUACACUGGAAGGGCAAGAACUAAUGCUUAUGCGUAUUCUUCCACGGCAUAUAGAAGGUUAACUACUCCAACUCGAUGGCUGAGAGAAAAGUGAAAUCCUAGCUUUCCCUAGAAUCAGCUCUUUACUAUCCUGCCCCAGGGGGUUUUUCGGAGACAUUGAACCCUAGAUUUAGAAGCUUUCCCAAACAAACCUUUUGANNNNNNNNNNGAGGGAGAAGUUCACGCUUGAUCUUCGACCCAAGACAAUGGAAGGGAGCUAAAGCCUUCUUCCUUUUUCAAAUUCGUUUAUAUGGAGCAAAAAGAGGUCGUGUCAUACCAUUUAUUCCGCCAAGAAGCAUUCGUCUACGGCACUUAGAACGCCUCGACACAUUUGUACUCACGCCUAGGACGGUCUUUCACACGGAAGUAAGAUUAGAGAGUUUGAUCAUAGUUUGACCGUAGUAAAAAAGAAGUCCCUUUCUCAUUUGCUUCCUGGUCAUCUCUAUAGAGAUAGAAGAAAGAAGUCCCAAGCAAGGGUCAUGCUAUUUCUAUUCUUUUCACUAUUGUUAUUCCCUAUUUCCUUAACUGAUCUUGAGUUGUACCGAAACAACAGAAAUAUGGUCUCUCAUAAAUUGAUUUCUUUCAUCACUGUUCUUAAAUCAAUCCGUGUCAGGUACAGAGCCAAUCUUCACAUCCCAUAUGUAAAACAAGUCGCUUUAUGGGCUCCUCGUGAAAUUACAACCUUUCUGAAGCCCUAGUCAAAAAGUUGUGCGAAACCUCAAUUGGUAAGAGGAGUAAACACCUAUUCUUUGGCCAUUCAAAACAUCGAAUUGGUUGGCUCGCUCAACCUCUCGAACCAGGACAAAACUUCCCAGCGUUGCAUUCACCGCCUAGCCUCGUCCAACAUGACUGUAAGGCACGUUUUGCAUGCCUUUAAAGUGUACCCCCUCGGAGGUAUCAAAAAGUGCGAGAAAUCGCAUUGAUGACUAAUAAAGUAGGGUUUUCACUCGUGUGGGUUCGCCCACCUUCCCUUCAGCAGCUCUCCCUGGACACCCUAUACUAAACUGAGGAAUUACUUAAGCUCCUGGCUUUUUUUCCAACAACUCAAAGCCGCUGCACCGACAGAUAACAUGCCGUGGAUCUUAUGUGGCGCUAAAACUUCAUGAUAGAUCAAAUCCUGAUUACGACUGGAGAGGGACGUUGAUGUUCCAAACAUUGGGUUCAAGAGCUCGGUUUGAUAGACAUAAACCUCAGUGAUCGGCUUUACACCAGGAAGGAGCAAUGAGAUAAACUCACCCCCCAUGGCGAGACUAGACAGAUUCAUGGCCUCCUGCUUGAACAUUGUCCCAAAAACAACGGUCACACCCUUGCCAAACACCUCCUCAGCUGACGAUAAUAUAUCGGACAUUGGACUGCAGGGCCUUAGUUGGCCAAGUAUGUUUUGUAUAUAAGGAUCCAUGGUCUUAUCAAACUCCAAUUACCAAAUGGUACAUACAGGAGUUGUUGCAUAAAAGGACGUACCAUUGCCACCAGUGAUCUUUAAAAGUGAUAAACUAAACUCAUCACGUUAGGAGAAUCCUCUAAACUUAAUAUAAUAGGCUCACUUUAUCACUAUAAACUUUUUAGUGAUGACCAAAUAACGAAAACACUUCGUUGAAUGACGUGUUGUUAAAGAAAAUAGCUGCGUCGCCCCCCUUCAAGACAGGAAACUAUAGACAGGUACCUGAGGUGCCCUGCUGAGAGAAGAAUUUGUCAACAAUCAAGCACUUGAGCUUGCAAGAAUAAAUAUAUGAUGUCUAUGCUAUUAUUGGGAUAAAAUGAAUCAAAAAAGCAGCAGAAUACGAGAAGGCUUUCUUUUCUUAAAGGGUGUAUACAUUAGAGUGUACCUGCUUGGUAGGCAUGAAAUCACUGACAAAGAGUUGCCUAGCUCCGAUGAGCUUGCAAGCAUAAUUUGGAAUUUCAUAGAAGCGGGCAUAGCUAGGGGUGAACCACGAGAAGUUAGAGCAAUUAAUGGGUAGGUAUCGUAAACAUCCUGAGUGUAUCACGGCAUUGAAGCAGAAGAAACAGAAAUGUUUUCCUUUCUUUCGCAUUUGAUUUGCAUGCCCCCUGUAGAUUUGACCCGGAGCCAAUGCCAGUCUUUUUUGCGAUCAAAUGCACUUGAGCUAGUCACUAAGUAAGGCGACAGCACCAAAAGAUGUGCAUGUGUCAUUAGGCCAUUGGAUUACUCAACAAAAAGUGAAGUGCCAAACGAUGAAGAAGAACACUUGAAACCAGGCACUGAACCCUAAAUGCUUCGCCUGGCUAACCAGAUAGAUUACUUCUAUCUGCUAGCUUGCCCUAAGAAAAACAACAGUUCCACAGAUAUCUCCAGUGCUUUUCUAUUCGAAACACAAGGGCGCUAAGCAAAGAGAAUUUCAAUUAACGAACAGUAGGUUCUUUUUCUUCCUUGGCCCAUCUCAGUGAUAUGUAGGCUCUCAGCCCUUACUUGAAUCAUCCGUCCUCCCUACAGAAAGAAAGCGAUUUUACGCCCUCCCGAAGGAAAACGUUUGGGCCGGCUGGAGCUCGACACGGAGCAAAAUGUAGAUGAUCUCCGCAAAUGGGCGAGGUAGGAGGACGUGGUUGGAAGUUUUUUGACACGAGGCCUUGCGCAAAAGACGAGUACUUCAGAGCCCACCAGGAAAAGGAUAUUGGUUCGCAUCUCUAUAUUGAUCCGCGGCGCUUCUAUGAAGUUUUCCUUGUCUCCGAUUUCAAAGCUGAAUGGAUGACUGAAUCUGUCGAAGCAUCAUUCGAUAUUUGCAGAUUGACGUAAUGCUAUGAGGAGUUAGAGUCUUCUGCGGGAAAGACAUUUCUUGUAGAGUUUUGUAGAUCUUUUUGCUCUACUUUUUCUAGUAUUCCUUACAUAAGAUCUCGGAAGAGCCGAUGUUUCCUUCCGUUCCCGGUAAAUAGGAAUUCUAUAUCCUCUAGCUCUUCGUGACCUGUUGUGUCUGCCCUCGACUUAGCCGUCAUAGAAUAGAAAGGUUUCUAACCGUUGAAAAGGAUACUUCUAAACGUUAAGGGGCGCUCAACCUUCCACUCAAAUCCUUUUUACCAGAAGGGAGCUCGCCUGCCACGACAUAUAAG